CAGAAGUAAAAUUUGUAUGAGCACAAAAACAUACGAUAAUGGUCAUUCACCACACAAGAUGCUUUAUCAAGUUUGAUCAUAAAGAUAUAUUCGCGACAACAUAAAUUUUUCUCCGGCUGCUCGAUCCCUUCAAAAACCCAAAAACUUGCAAAUUUUCAAAUCCGUUAAUUCGUCUUCGAAGAAAUGAGAGCCUAGAGUGCAAUCCUUCUGCUAGCCCUGCCAGCAAGGGCUGCCAAAAGCUCACGAGCAAGCUGGACGCAGACGUAUUCUUAGCUUCUAUGAAAAUCGUUACUUGGGUCCUUUAGUCAAUCAGCUUGUUUUUACAAUCAGACAGCGACCUGUCAGACUGAAUCGACUUCUUUCCAUUCCAGCGAACGACAGCACAACGAUCGACUCCUUCAGAGGUAGGUAUGAAAAAUACAGAGUGGUUUUGUAGAGAUUUUUAUUGACUUUCAAACAAUCAACAUUUUGGGAAUCGGUUAAGCCGUUUCCUAGAAAA
rnacentral:sRNA from 1 species